GAAGCGCUUGGUUUGGUGGUUUGCAUGUCUAUUUAUCAUCAAGAAGACUCGGGUUCGAAUCCCGUUGUCUUCA
rnacentral:tRNA from 1 species